CCAACUCCUACCUACUUUUAUGUGCUUCUUCCUCUCUCCGUCGUCGUACAGUUGCUUCUUCUCUCCGUCGCAUGAGCUGCUUCCGCCGCUGCCGGUUCCGCCGCCGCUGGCAUCGCACGAUCUCUCUCUGUCAUCCCUUGCGUCACACGAGCUCCCUCUGUCGCCGCUCUCGUCGCGUCUACUCCCAUCGUCGCAGAGCUCUCUCCGCCGCCACUCUCAUCGCAUCUGCUCCCUCUGGCGCCUCUUCCAUCUAAUCUCAACAACUCGCUCUCUCGGUUCUUCUCGUAACCAUCUCGAAUUUCAGGACUGUUGAAUAUCAAGUCAAAUCUGUAGCACAGCAUCUGAUUAAGGAACCGUUGUCUAUUUAUUCUUGCAACUGCAAUUUCCCUCUACGCCAAUGUUCUUCUUGCUAAGCGCUCCAUGAAUUUGGUGGAACAAGGCAUAUUAGAUACAGAGAUUUAGCUGGCUUUAUCUAUGGUAUGUGAAAAAUGUUUUAUAUCUGUAGUGUAAGUACCGCUGGAUCAGCUUUAGAGCAUAUUAAGAGGACUCAUGAGGCUGUAAAUGAGAAUGAGUCCAAACAUAUUUCUGCAGCAGUGUCACUAAUCAGGUAUCUAGUGAAUUGAUUGUGAGAAACUGAGAAUAACUGUCAGUAAUGCCCAUGCUUAUUGAAAAUGUGCUUCAUUCAGUCGUAAUCCGCUCUUAAACUAAUACUUUUGUGAUCAACUGAUGCAAUAUCAAUCACUUGUGUGCAGUAAUGCUUCUAAUAGCAAUGAGCAACAUGACAUGGAGAUCAAUUUUGCUCGUGUUACAGCAGAGGAAGAUGUGGCAAAGAACAGCAAUGAUCUCUUUGAGCAGUUUGUUGGUAAGUGUAUGGUUUCAUUGCAUAGCAAAAUUGGUUGCAAAAAAGCAGCAAAAUUAUUUUAUUAUUGGCAUUCUGACGUGUGUGUCCAUUAGCAAUCUGAUUUCAGAACUCUACUCUUUACCAUUUUAGCAUGUUUCAUACCUCCCACCAUUUUAGCAAUCUGUUUCUAAACAUGUGCCGAAUGUCAUUAAAGCAUUGGCCGACUCUUCAAGGCUCAACUUAUUGCCAUUUCGUAGCUGCUCAGAAGAUAAGGCAUGUUUAUGAGAAGCAUUUUCUUUUAAUUAAAUACUAAGUGAGCUUGUGUCAUAACAAUGAAGUUUGUAGACUUUUCGGGAUAAAGAUGACAAGGUUGACGAAUUGCUUACUUCACCAACUCCCAAGGCUUCUGCAAAAGCUCUACCUUCAAUGAGUAAAUUAGGCUUGAAAAGGAUAAAUCCAGAACAAAAUGUGGAUUUUGACACCAAUCUAAUUACUCUGAGCUACUUUGGAGUAUUUAGCAGACAGAGUCCUUUCAGGACUCCACCCUCUUUGUCUCAUUGUCCUGAUAAGGUGCAUCCUAUUAAUGACAUUCAAUGCACUGGACCAUCUGAUCAACUUUAUCUCAGACAGCACAAAAAGGUUUUUUAGUGUAAUUGCACCUGGAGAUACUGUAAACAUAAUCGGUCAAUUUGAUGAAGGAGGAAGUUGUGAUAUAGGCCAUGAAAAUAAUUUCUUGAUUGUGCACCCAGACAUUCUGCUGUCUGGAACAAGGUCCCUUCUGUAUCUUCCACUCGCCAUUGCUAAUGCACUCACGGCAAGACUAAAUGAUGGGGUACCAUUAGUAAAUGAGAAAUUGGUUCUUCUUGGUUUUUGUGCAUAUACAGUGACACUUUACCUGCAUUUCGCCACUACGGUCAUUCACGAGAUCACAAAUGCCUUGGGGAUAUGCUGUUUCAGGAUAACUAGGAAGGAAGCUUGAUGUUUUUGGAUAAUUUUUCUCUAGGAAAAUAAAGAUCCUAAGGUUGUCGCCAUCUUAAUGUCUAUAGCAUUUAUCACAAGUUUGGAUCUUAGAAGAAUUGAACAAGUCGCCAGGAGAAAGAGAAAAUAUUGAAUGGAUCUUAGAAGAAUUGAACAACUUUAACUUAAUUUGGCCUUAAUUUUAGACUAGGUUUAUGUUUAUAUUUAGGCAAUUCUGAUAGUGGUUAGCAACAAGAGCAGAUUGUUUUAUACACUUUUAGUGUAUGUCACGGUACAGAUUUUACAGGUUUUCUUUUUUUCAAUGGUAUUUGUUUUGAAUUAUAGUUGAUGUAUCAAUUUGUUUGUGUUUUGAAUUAUAUUGACUUGUUUGUUUAUAGUACUUUUCUUUUAAUUUGAUAAUAC